UUAUUUAUUUAUUUAUUUUUAGGGUAAAUUACUGGCGGCUGUUAGUGUUGCUGAACAACUUGAUGGGGUUGAUACUGUCCCUGUAAUACUAGUCAAGGUGUUAGAGGCAGUGGGUGUGGCCUCGUGGAGUAAUUAUGGACCGUUUUCUGAUUGUUACUGUUUAGUGUCACUGAUGGAUACUGAAGGACAUGUAAAGUAUG